rnacentral:rRNA from 1 species
UAGGGAAUCUUCCGCAAUGGGCGAAAGCUUGACGGAGCAACGCCGCGUGAGUGAUGAAGGUCUUCGCAUCGUAAAACUCUGUUAUUAGGGAAGAACAAAUGUGUAAGUAACUAUGCACGUCUUGACGGUACCUAAUCAGAAAGCCACGGCUAACUACGUGCCAGCAGCCGCGGUAAUACGUAGGUGGCAAGCGUUAUCCGGAAUUAUUGGGCGUAAAGCGCGCGUAGGCGGUUUUUUAAGUCUGAUGUGAAAGCCCACGGCUCAACCGUGGAGGGUCAUUGGAAACUGGAAAACUUGAGUGCAGAAGAGGAAAGUGGAAUUCCAUGUGUAGCGGUGAAAUGCGCAGAGAUAUGGAGGAACACCAGUGGCGAAGGCGACUUUCUGGUCUGUAACUGACGCUGAUGUGCGAAAGCGUGGGGAUCAAACAGG